rnacentral:rRNA from 1 species
GAUGAACGCUGGCGGCGUGCCUAAUACAUGCAAGUCGAACGCUUCACAUAUGUGAAGAGUGGCGAACGGGUGAGUAAUACAUAAGUAACCUGGCCUUUACAGGGGGAUAACUGUUGGAAACGAUAGCUAAGACCGCAUAGGUGUGAUAACCGCAUGGAGAUGACAUGAAAUAUGCUACGGCAUAGGUAGAGGAUGGACUUAUGGCGCAUUAGCUAGUUGGAGGGGUAACGGCCCACCAAGGCGACGAUGCGUAGCCGACCUGAGAGGGUGACCGGCCACACUGGGACUGAGACACGGCCCAGACUCCUACGGGAGGCAGCAGUAGGGAAUUUUCGGCAAUGGGGGAAACCCUGACCGAGCAACGCCGCGUGAAGGAAGAAGUAAUUCGUUAUGUAAACUUCUGUCAUAGAGGAAGAACGGUGCGUGUAGGGAAUGACAUGCAAGUGACGGUACUCUAUAAGAA